rnacentral:lncRNA from 1 species
ACUGUGGAUGCCUUCGUAAGUUGCAUGGAAGGUUUUUAAACCUAGCCCUGCCGAGCAGCCCUCUCCUGGUCCGGGAGAACGAUGGGGAGAGAGCUGGCGUUCAGCUUUCAUCACUGGAGCCGUUCCUUCUUCCGGCCCCCCGAGGGCCUGUCCAUGAUCACACUUUGUCUUGUUUCGGGGGUGGCCCCUGUGACCCCUUAGAGGUGCAAAUCCAAGGCAGUAGAAGCCGCCUGCCAGGCCAGUGCCCGCCACUGCUUAAUUCAGGCGGAAUCACGGCUCAGAGGGUUCCCUCCACUUUCCAAGGGAAACAUGUCCACGGGGUAUCUCUUCCUGCGUAUUUUCUCACGACCCUUCCUUACAUCCAAGGCCACGUCUCUCGACACGUUGUCCCCCCUCUGCCGUCACACAUGGCGUAAUCCGCGCCCCCCCUACCCCCCACAUCAGCUGCUCAGCGAGCCGCACUCACAGUCACAGGCCCCGCCGGCGGCAACCCCACCUCCUCCCGCCCAGGCAGGAAACGCUCAGCAGCACCAUCUGCUUGGCUCCUCAGCCAGCCGCGCUCCGGGAGCCCUGGGGGCGAGGCGGCCGUGGCGUCCUCCACGUCUGUGUCUCCCCGCACGUCAGCCGCCCCACGCUGUCUCUGGAAGCUUCCGGAGUACCCAGGCCUUCUGCACUCCACGCACUGCAUGUGCGCCUGAGCCGCUGUCUCGAUUUUACAAAACGGAAUCUAGCAGUCCAUGCACUCAGGGAGGCGGCUGGCAGGAUUUUCUGGCAAACUAAGGGUGUUCUUUCCUGGCCAAAGGAAAAGUCUUUUGGAAAAUGAAUAAUCUCUUCCUAAUUUGCUUGACUAGGAAGAUGGGUUUUUGCACAGUGGGUUUGUUGAAGGGAGGCAGCUCUUGAAAUUUUGUUCAUAAUCCGACAUGACAAGGGUGACCGUAUAAUCUACCGACCCAUCUGAGCCCCUUGAGAAGAAAGGAGAAGGUUGUUAAUACACGCACUGGGACCACAGGCAUCACUGGGCCUGUCCUGGGCAAACUGAUUUAUGAUGGCCGCCGUUGACCUUCGCUGUGGUCAGCCUAAGUGACCUCAGCGUGCACCUGCCAUGAUUUCCUGGAAUCACUCUCUGGGUUCCAGGCUUCUAGGCCUGUGGUUUUGGGGCUGGUUUCUCUGAAUUCUCAGAUCCUGGUCAGAAGUUUGUGGGCAGAUUGGUGUCUGAUGAAUGAGGGCCGCUCAUUCAAGAAACCAGCGUAGCAAAUGGGAGGUGGUGCAGGGUCUCUCUGCGAAGCGCUCAAGCCCACUUCCCUGCCCCCACGUGUCCUGAUUUUACUUUGAAAUUUCCAGUGGAUGCAAUAGUGCCGACCAUGUGCACAUGGGGUCAGGAUCUCAGGCCCGCCAGCUGGACUACAGCAAGUACCCAUGGUCUCAGGGAAAAGGUCCCCUGCUGCAGGCUGUGGGGGACCUCGGCUCUCACAGUGGCUAUGCCUGAGAAAGCCCCUCCAGACUCGCCAACCUGGCCCGCGCGUCCUGUCCGGAGGGCAGGGUGGGGCUGGUGCUGGUUACAGAUGAUCCUCAAGGGCACAGCACGCAAGCCACCAGGCGCCCCUCCUGCAGCUGGGUCAGAGAGAGGCACUGGGAGCCUGGCUCCCUCCAGGUCAGUCUCCACCAGGGCCACCCCGGUGACCUGCAGGAGAGGAAGGCAGACGAGGAGUGGCCCUGCCCCUUAGGGCGCAUCGUGCAGGUGGCACAAGGGGGUCAUCUGCAUCCUGGUCAAGGGGGAGCCCACCUGCCUCCUCCAGGUCGGGAACACUCCCUGGAGGCCAUGGUGUGGAGCGUCCACCCGGGCUUCGUCCUCCAGCUCAGCUGCUGGGCCCUGGGAAGGGACAGGCCCAGCACCCGUUCAGCCGGGCUGAGCCGCAGGCAGAGCGCCUUGCCUGGGAGAGACAAACCCACCGCUGAGGACACACCCUCAAGGUUCACCCUUCCCCACUUCUGUGUUGCCCUUAGCUCUAAGGUGCUAAUUCCAUCUCUAGUUUCAACAGGC